rnacentral:rRNA from 1 species
AUUGAACGCUGGCGGCAGGCCUAACACAUGCAAGUCGAACGGCAGCACAGAAGAGCUUGCUCUUUGGGUGGCGAGUGGCGGACGGGUGAGUAAUGCCUGGGAAACUGCCCAAUGGAGGGGGAUAACUACUGGAAACGGUAGCUAAUACCGCAUAACGUCGCAAGACCAAAGUGGGGGACCUUCGGGCCUCACACAACCGGAUGUGCCCAGAUGGGAUUAGCUAGUAGGUGGGGUAAUGGCUCACCUAGGCGAAGAUCCCUAGCUGGUCUGAGAGGAUGACCAGCCACACUGGAACUGAGACACGGUCCAGACUCCUACGGGAGGCAGCAGUGGGGAAUAUUGCACAAUGGGCGCAAGCCUGAUGCAGCCAUGCCGCGUGUAUGAAGAAGGCCUUCGGGUUGUAAAGUACUUUCAGCGGGGAGGAAGGCGGUGAGGUUAAUAACCUUGCCGAUUGACGUUACCCGCAGAAGAAGCACCGGCUAACUCCGUGCCAGCCGCCGCGGUAA